rnacentral:rRNA from 1 species
GACGAGCGCUUGCGGCGUGCCUAAAACAUGCGAGUUGAGCGCUGAGGGCUGGUACUUGUACCAACUGGGUGAGCAGCGAACGGGUUAGUGACGCGUCGGGAAGCUGCGAUGGAGCGGGGGACAAUAUGUGGAAAAGAAUGCGAAUACCGCAUAAAAGCUUUAAAGACAAAAUUUAAGUGUGAAAGAUGCAAUUACAUCACGCACAGAUGAUCGCCCGUUGUGUUAGAUAGUUGGUGAGGACAAGGCUCACCAAGGCGAUGAUACAUAGCCGAACUGAGAGGGUGAUCGGCCACAGUGGGACUGAGACACGGCCCAAGCUCCUACGGGGGGCAGCAGUAGGGAAUCUUCGGACAUGGACGAAAGUCUGACCGAGCAACGCCGCGGGAGUGAAGAAGGGUUUCGGAUCGUCAAACUCUGUUGGUAGAGAAGAACGUUGGUGAGAGUGGAAAGCUCAUCCAGUGACGGUAACUUCCCAGAAAGGGACGGCUAAUUAAGUG